rnacentral:rRNA from 1 species
ACUAAGUGGUAAACGAUGUGAGAUUGCGAAGACAGCCAGGAGGUUGGCUUAGAAGCAGCCACCCUUGAAAGAGUGCGUAACAGCUCACUGGUCGAGUGGUCUUGCGCGGACAAUGUAACGGGGCUCAAGUCUGGAGCCGAAGCCACGGGUGCGUCCUAGUGACGCGCGGUAGCGGAGCGUCGAUCUCGCAGAGAAGCGCAGGGUAACCGGUCGUGGAGCGUGGUCGAGUGAGAAUGUUGGCAUGAGUAGCGAAAGAGGGGUGAGAAACCCCUCCGCCGGAUGUCCAAGGGUUCCUGGGGAAGGCUAAUCCACCCAGGGUGAGUCGGGAGCUAAGGCGAGGCCGAGAGGCGUAGUCGAUGCACAACCGGUUGAUAUUCCGGUACCACCACAUGCGCGCCAAUUCCAAUCACAGGUUGCUAA